rnacentral:rRNA from 1 species
AAAUUGAAGAGUUUGAUCAUGGCUCAGAUUGAACGCUGGCGGCAGGCCUAACACAUGCAAGUCGAACGGUAACAGGAAGAAGCUUGCUUCUUUGCUGACGAGUGGCGGACGGGUGAGUAAUGUCUGGGAAACUGCCUGAUGGAGGGGGAUAACUACUGGAAACGGUAGCUAAUACCGCAUAACGUCGCAAGACCAAAGAGGGGGACCCUCGGGCCUCUUGCCAUCGGAUGUGCCCAGAUGGGAUUAGCUAGUAGGUGGGGUAACGGCUCACCUAGGCGACGAUCCCUAGCUGGUCUGAGAGGAUGACCAGCCACACUGGAACUGAGACACGGUCCAGACUCCUACGGGAGGCAGCAGUGGGGAAUAUUGCACAAUGGGCGCAAGCCUGAUGCAGCCAUGC